GACGAACGCUGGCGGCGUGCUUAACACAUGCCAGUCGAACGGAAAGGCCCUGCUUGCAGGGUACUCGAGUGGCGAACGGGUGAGUAACACGUGGGUGAUCUGCCCUGCACUUCGGGAUAAGCCUGGGAAACUGGGUCUAAUACCGGAUAGGAGCCAUUUUUAGUGUGAUGGUUGGAAAGUUUUUUCGGUGUAGGAUGAGCUCGCGGCCUAUCAGCUUGUUGGUGGGGUAAUGGCCUACCAAGGCGGCGACGGGUAGCCGGCCUGAGAGGGUGGACGGCCACAUUGGGACUGAGAUACGGCCCAGACUCCUACGGGAGGCAGCAGUGGGGAAUAUUGCACAAUGGGCGCAAGCCUGAUGUAGCGACGCCGCGUGGGGGAUGACGGCCUUCGGGUUGUAAACUCCUUUCGCUAGGGACGAAGCUUUUUGUGACGGUACCUAGAUAAGAAGCACCGGCUAACUACGUG
rnacentral:rRNA from 1 species